rnacentral:rRNA from 1 species
UACGGAGGGUGCAAGCGUUAUCCGGAUUCACUGGGUUUAAAGGGUGCGUAGGUGGGCAGUUAAGUCAGUGGUGAAAUCUCCGGGCUUAACCCGGAAACUGCCAUUGAUACUAUCUGUCUUGAAUAUCGUGGAGGUAAGCGGAAUAUGUCAUGUAGCGGUGAAAUGCUUAGAUAUGACAUAGAACACCAAUUGCGAAGGCAGCUUACUACCCGAAUAUUGGCACUGAGGCACGAAAGCGUGGGGAUCAAACAGG